UUGAAAUAAACCUGAUGGGCUGUUGUUGGUUCUCUAGGGAACAUGUGCACGCCUUGUCAUCUUUAUAUCUCCACCUGUGCACUUUUUGUAGACCUUUCCAGGUCUAUGUUUGCUUCAUUUUACCCCAACUGUAUGUCAUUAGAAUGUUGUGCCUAUGUAACAUAUA
rnacentral:misc_RNA from 1 species